UGUGUGUGUGAGAGAGAGAGAACGAGAGAGAGAACGAGAGAGAACAACAUGAGUCAAGGGGGAGGUCUGUGCCAGUACAGAGGGACAUGCCAACAAGUGUUAUAUGUUUCAGUAAUAUCGGCAUUUUAGCAUUCAUAGCAAUGGUUAGCAACUACCACAGGGAUGGAAUGUAAGUCGCAAAAAAAUAGGUUUUUGUGGCAGAAUAUAUGUAUAUAUAUAUAUAUAUAUAAUCAAACUAAUAGCAAUGAAAAAUAAGAUGAGGUAAUUAGAAUAUCUAGGCUUUAUUGGUAAACUGUUUUGAGAAAAUAAUCAAGAUUUGUAAAAAAAAAGCAUACAUUUAUUUCCCCUACAAUGCUCAUCCCCUGCUGUUCUCUUCUACACAUACCUUGCAAAAUACCAGUUGUACAAUAAGUUUUCAAACUACAGGCUUCAUUGUUGAUGUAUAUCAUUAGAUUCAGUAUCAUUUAAACAGCCCAGGUAAAGUUUUCACACAAAACUGAACCAAAGCUUGAAACAACACUGAUCAGUUUUGCUGAUGUUACUGACCCAGUCUCCACGGUGAUGACUAAUUUGUCUAUGAGUCACAUUUCUCAGAUGCAUCAGUAAAUGCAGUGUGGAAAAUUAUUUACUGAUCCACCAGUGAAAAAUGUAUUUCGACAUUAAAUAGAAAUAUAUUGUACAACUAUUGUACAGCAUGAAUAAUCAUGAUAUUUUUCUGAAAUACGAUAAUAUCAAAGCUUUUUAUUUUUACUCUAUUCAAGUGAUUGUUCCACCUGGGAAUGGAACUGAUAAACCAGACAGCGGUUUAAGAUGUCAGAGGGCUCUCAGGUAUGUUAGAACUCCUAUUGUUUUGGGUCCCUCUGGGAGACAAGAGACAGGAGUGGAGGAACUGGCACACAGCCUGGGUAAGGAAGGAGGAGAGGACACGGUCACAUCCAUCUCAGAGAGACGGAGAGACACACACCUUACAGCCGAGAGAAGUCUGCACUCUCAGCCCCAAUGAAAGCCUCAUAGACUCUGAGAAUAUAGAACAAUAUGCGGUGAGUUAAUCUCUGCUAUGAUACCUGUAAAUGUCUGAUGUCCUUUUUGAGUCAUAUACAUAUAUUUUUAUGCAAGUUGUUGGUGCACUCUGACUUUUAGACACACAAGGGUUUCUAAAGGAUACAUUUUGGAAAGGUUCCUAAUUGGUCGUUUCAUACUUAUUUUCUGUGAUUUAGAAACAUUUUUGAUGGUCAUUUUAAUAACGUAUUGCCAAAUUCUUCAUGUGCUCCGGUGUCCGUGACACUGAGCAGGAAACCCAACAUAAAGACAUUGUCUGAUGACACACUUUUCCCUAGCAAGGUGGACGGAACAUUUUCAAAGGCAAUCCUUACAUCGAUUGAUUUAAUAACAUGGUCUAUGAUGGCUGUGAUGUUAGGGUUGUUCUGAUGUAAUGUACUUGCGAUUGGUUCUUGCUAUAUAUUUUUCAUCUUUUACUUUAAGGUCUCAGGGCACCACUGAAAAGGAGAACCUGGUCUCCCCUGAUUAAAUCAAAGUAAAUGCACAUCAUUGGCCCUUGACCAUAUAGUCUUCUAGAUGUUUUAACAAUCUAUACCCGUUCUUUGGUACUCAGUAAACGUAUCCGUAACUGAAGGCAAUGGUAAAUGCAUGUCUCGUUCACCUUCAUUUGCCAAGCAGUGAUAUAGAUCAUUUGAGUUUCAACAUUGAAACUGGAAUGUUGGAUUAGAGCAAUUACAUUCUAAUAGAUUUCAACUUGAACCAUUUCUGAACCUGAAAACAAAUAGCCUACACUUCAUGGCCCAGUAACUUACCCAUAGAGUACAGUGAUACUGCACCUAAUGUUGAAAUGUAGGGGUUUGGUAAGAGGAAAACAUGACCUUUUAGUUCACUGUAACUGCAUACCUUUACUGUGUAGAAUAAGGUCCUCUGGGACUUACAGUAGACUGUAUUUUUAUGUAAAACAACUCACCACCACCCAGGUUUAUACGUAUGGAGCUCUGUCACCACAGGCCUCCACACGGACACACACUAAUUGAACCUGGCCUAGAGGGAGUCUUAGCAUUUAGCUUGUAACCCAAUCAGAAAACAGGGAUUAUUCUUGUCAGUUUCCUCUAUUCAGUGGGAUAUUGUUAGGGGACUUGUAUUUCCAACCCCUCUGGACUUAGACGUCUCACCUAUUUGGAGGCUCAACAAUACAGUCAAGGACAUUCUUUGCACAAACAAUAAUGGAUUCCAGUUCAGUGUCCUUUUUUUUCCUUCUAAGGUUGUUCAUUUUGUGGACUAAUCAAAGAAACAGCAGUUAAUGCCAAAUGAUUAGUAAAAACAUACAGUAGCAGUCAAAAGUUUGGACACACCUACUCAUUGUCACGCUCGUCGGAAAGGACGGACCAAGGCACAGCGUGAGUUGAGUUCCACAUCUUUUAUUACUGUGAAACUUAAACAAACUACUACAACUGUGACCGCCAUAGUGCACAAAACACUAACACAAACAAUAUUCCACAAUGCAGGUGUGAACAGGGACUCCUUAAGUAUGAUCCCCAAUUAGAGACAACGAUAAUCAGCUGUCUCUAAUUGGGAACCAUACUCAAACCCAAACAUAGAAAUAUAAUUGACUAGAACACCCCUUAGUCAUGCCCUGACCUACAACACCAUAUAGAACCAAGGGCUCUCUAUGGUCAGGGCGUCACACUCAUUCAAGGGUUUUUCUUAAUUUUUACUAUUUUCUAAAUUUUAGAAUAAUAGUGAAGACAUCAAAACUAUGAAAUAACACUUAUGGAAUCAUGUAGUAACCAAAAAAGUGUGGCUACUUUGAAGAAUCGAAAAUAUAAAAUAGCUGUUGAUUUGUUUAACACUUUUUUGGUUACUACAUGAUUACAUAUGUGUUAUUUCAUAGAUGUCUUCACUGUUAUUGUACAAUGUAGAAAAUAGUAAAAAAUAAAGAAAAACCCUGGAAUGAGUAGGAUUGUCCAAACUUUUGACUGGUACUGUAUACUCAAAAUCACGUUUUAUCACCAGAUAAUAUCAAAUACUUUUUUGGAAUAUGUCUUGACAAAAUUAUGUAUAUUUCCAACCCAAUUAUGAAUAGCAGCAACCUCUAUAAUUUUGUUUCGUUUACUCCCUGUUUUAUCUCAUCAAUGUUGAAUAAUAUUCUGGUUAUAAUUGGAUAAUAAUAUCAGUACCUUUUCACUGAUCUCUUGUGGUGGGAUGAUUCUUGUCUCAAAAAUAAUGUUAAGGUCAUAGUAGACCCUGCACCAUUGUUUGGAGUGGAGGAGGGUUACGCAAACAAACAAAAAGGAUCCCCACAAAUUUAACAAAUUCCCUACCACCAUUAAGCAGAACAAGGAAUUUACCUAC
rnacentral:lncRNA from 13 species